GUUGAGGGGAAUGUUGUCUGGUUCGAGACCAUUCUUCUGAAGCAAUUAAAUUAACCUAUCAAUGAAUGAUUUCGGACCAGGCUUCAUUCCUCUCAAC
rnacentral:pre_miRNA from 1 species